AUUGAACGCUGGCGGCAUGCCUUACACAUGCAAGUCGAACGGCAGCACGGGUGCUUGCACCUGGUGGCGAGUGGCGAACGGGUGAGUAAUACAUCGGAACAUGUCCUGUAGUGGGGGAUAGCCCGGCGAAAGCCGGAUUAAUACCGCAUACGAUCUACGGAUGAAAGCGGGGGACCUUCGGGCCUCGCGCUAUAGGGUUGGCCGAUGGCUGAUUAGCUAGUUGGUGGGGUAAAGGCCUACCAAGGCGACGAUCAGUAGCUGGUCUGAGAGGACGACCAGCCACACUGGGACUGAGACACGGCCCAGACUCCUACGGGAGGCAGCAGUGGGGAAUUUUGGACAAUAGGCGAAAGCCUGAUCCAGCAAUGCCGCGUGUGUGAAGAAGGCCUUCGGGUUGUAAAGCACGUUUGUCCGGAAAGAAAUCCUUGGCCCUAAUACGGUCGGGGGAUGACGGUACCGGAAGAAUAAGCACCGGCUAACUACGUGC
rnacentral:rRNA from 1 species